rnacentral:lncRNA from 1 species
UGAUGGAAUCUACUAGACAAUAUGUUGCUAGUAGUUGGUGUUAAGAUGGUGCCCACGAGUCGGUAUAAAUUUUUUUCCUAUUCGUCGCAUCACAAUGUCUACACUUGUAAGCAGUAAGCGAGGGGACCAUGAUCAAUGCCAUUUAAUUUGAAAUUGACAUAAUGAAAAACUUGGGUAAAGCAUUUGAAAAUCACGAAAGGCCACGGAUUGUGUAUAAUUUUAGUAACAAAGAAGAAGUAGUGGAAGAAGAAAAUUAAAUCCUAGUCCAUGUGGUCCAACGAAAUCGAAAUUUGGCCCAGCCCAAAAUUUUUGGUAAUGUCCCACACACUGACUCACAGUCACAUACAUAGAAUAGAAUAAAUUUAACAUCAAUUUUCUUUGUAAACCAAGUCAUAGACGCCGCGUCCAGAUAUCCUACCAAAAUGACUUUUGAAUAAGGGUGGGUAAAAUACCUGACCCAAUCCGAUCCGAUCCGACCCAAUCCAAAAAAAUUUAAGUUUGGAUCGGUUCGGGUUGUUAUUGAAACCCGAACGGGUGAAAAAUUGUAAACCCGAUCGGGUUGUGAUCGGGUCAGAUAAAACCCGAUCCGAUCCGAAUACCCAAUCGGAUCGCACCAAAAAAAAAAACUCACUAAACCUAUAAACACAUCACACAUGCACACACUAGACACCACACACACAGGCACACACAAAGUCACAACUCAAAACCAAUUGGCUAAAAAAAAAAUUGACAAAUAAAAAACAAAAUCAAAUUAUAACCCAUGCACACAACCGCACACAAACAAAUCUCGCUGCCUUCACAGCCCUUAUCCUCACAGCCCUCAUCCUUACACUCACGACUUCACACACACACACAUCGCAAAAGCCAAAAGCAAAGCAUCAACUGGCAGCCAACGCAAAGAAGAGAGCGGAGGAAGCGUAACCGGCGCAUGCAACCACCUAACCCGUGACUGGAUCUGCUGCUUCGCGACAUCCGUAGCUACCAGAUCUGCUGUUGCCGGAUAUCUACUGGAUCUGCUGCUGCUGGAUCCGCUGCACUGCUAUCAGAUCUGCUGCUGCUGCCUCCACCAUCACCAAGUUCCACCGCAAACCGGCAACCCGAAUUCUUUUCUUUUUUGAUGUUUUGAUGGUAUAUAAUAAUAUAUUAUAUAUUAUCUGUUAAUUGCUAAGUAUAUGUAUUGUUAAAUGUUAAUAAUAAAAUGAGGGAAAUUCUUGUAUGGAAAAUUUUGGAGCUUAAUUUAUCAAGUCCGUGGAAGUUUAAAUUAUAAGUAUGAAUUGAUUUUUUUUGUUUUGUUUUUAAUGAAUAGAUUAAGCAGAUUAAGCACUAAAAUUAAAUAUUUUGCAUUUGAUCUGUGCAGCAGCUUCACCCGAUCCGAAUUAACCCGAUUAUUUGACCCGAUCCG